GGCCUCGGCCCCGCCCCCGCCCCUGCCCCGGGGCAGCCUGUGCUGUUCCGUGUGCGCGGCGCAUACGCACCUGGGUUGUCUCGAGCCUGCGGUAGUGGCCAGAUCCCAGACAUCCGAGUAGAUCCCGUGAAAAGCUUCUUCUUGGUUUCUUCGUACAUUCUGGAUCCACCCCUUUCAUGCAUAUUCCAGACCACAUUUCCACUGGAGCAGUUGAAAUGAGAGAGAUGGGAAUGGGACUCACCCGAACCAGAGGAAUUUUUAUUACAGACCCAUUAACAGAGGUGUCAAAGUCACAGGAACAAGGAUGUGCACCUCAGAAACACAGAGGUCAGUGGAAAAUCAGUUUGCUUCUAUUUGUUUAAAAAAUGGGGGACUUAUGCAUAAAUCUAAGACCUUCUUGAAUCUAACAUUCUAAGACCUGUAUGCCACAGAAAGGAGGGUCUCAGAACGCCGGAGGAUAGUAUUUAAAUCUUAAAUAUCUAUAUUGUUCUCCACAGUUACUGGGUCACCACAUAGCAGGCAUUCAAUAAAAACGUGUUUGUUUACUAAGUAAUCUAGA
rnacentral:lncRNA from 10 species